CUUAGUUGUGUGAAGAGAACACCUGACUGGGAAUUAGGUAGCCAGAGUCCUCCUCCUGCAAACCCCAGACCUCACAGAACGCGUUCGCCCUGCCCUCCCGGAGGGUUGGCAUGGCUGGCAAAAAUGAAACUGCAGUCAGAUCAAAAGCAGCUGGAGCCCAUUCGGGGUAUGUCCGUGAGAAAUGGCAGCUGGCCUCACGACUUUGCUGCCUCGCGGUUCGGGCAUGAGGAAAUGAGCUGAGAGGACAUGCCUGCGGUUGCUGCCUCCACUGUUUGGGCCACGUUGGAAACGCACCUGAAAGGGCCCAAAGUCAAAAUACCUGUAACGUGACAGAGGGUGGAAAGGAUUUGGCCCGUAAACUAGCAACCGAGCCGGCCCUAACCAGACUCCUGAGGCUUCGUUGUUCCAGGCAGAAGAAAGGAAACCUAUGGGGGAAACAAGCAGCUGCAUUUGUUUCAUUUGGUUUUGUUUCAUUUCAUUUAUUUAAAAGCGUUUAUGAGGCCGAAAUUGGGCGGGGGGGUAAUGCCUCAGUAAGCGGAGCAAAGAACGUAUGCUAAUCCCUGAGGGAACAGGCAGAAAGGCCUCCAUUUUGAAGAACCAGCAAACCUCCUGAGGUAAAUUCCCAGGUUCGUAUUCUCAAAGCUUUAUUGGCGUAUGUACAAGAUUUCAGUAGGGUUCAAUAUAAAAGGACCACUCAUUAAAAGAAUAAAAAUAAAAUCCUGCAACUUAACACUUAAGUUAGUGUUGCAUAGCAUUCACAAAUCCUGAGGUAAACUCAAUAGUGGAUAGCAGUGAAGAGGCCAUUGCUAAGAAUAAAAAUAAGAAUAAGAAGGAUAAAAAUGUGUGAAGAAUAUUUUUAUUCUUAUUUUAAUUUUUAUUCUUAUUUAUUUAUUCUUAUUACUUUGACAAAAUAAUAAUAAAAAUUUAUUAAAAAGAGGCCAUUGCUGGGCCUAGCUAGCGAAGGUGUUGGAAGGAUUUCAUAGCUAGAAAAUAUCUUGGAGGGAGUGAGAGAAAUAGGAAGAUACUUAAGAAAUAAUGAUAGUGGGUUCCUAUUGUUUUUCUGUCACUUGCCCCAAUGUUCUCUUUUUCUUCUGAAUAUUGAAUAAUAAUAAUAAUAAUAAUAAUAAUAAUAGGAAAAAGGAAGAUACUUAAGAGAUAAUGAUAGUGGGUUGCAAUUGUUUUUCUGUCACUGCCCCAAUGCUCUCUUUUUCUUUUGAAUAUUGAAUAAUAAUGAUAAUAAUCAUUAUUAUUAUUGGCUGCAACCACACUUUUGGGUUAUGUAGCAAAAGCUGCCUGAUCCUGAGUCAGACCAUAGCUCAGAAUUGUCUGGCCUAACUGGCACUAGGGAUUGCACCUGAGACCUUCUGCAUGCAAGGCAGAGAGGCCUUACCACUGAACUACAGUCCUUCAAACUACUUCUGAGCAUGCAUAUUUUGCAACUCCUUUAUCUCUUUAUGUUUAUGUGCUUUAAGGAACCUCAGUGGUGGAAGUCAGUGAACACUUUAUUCAAUAGGGGGUUUCCUUGGUUAGCAAAGCAACAGUUAGAAGAACAGGGUGCACCCUUUAAAAAGAGGCUUGUGUCUUCAGCACACACUGAAAGCUAUACAGCGAAGGUGCCAGACACACCCCACUCUGUGGGGACAGAGUCCCACAAUUUAGGUGUUGUUGGAGAAAAACAAAUUUCCUUCUCUUGAGUUUGUAGUAAAUGAAUGCAUUUAUUUAAACUACCAAAGGGCACUGUGUAGCAAUCGAGCCAACGCCCUUUUUAGCUCUCUGAGUUAACUUCAUGCCAAAACUAAGCCAUUUUGUUCUUUUCCCCAGACGAGAUGUCAUCUGUUUCUUUCAUCUCCACUCAUCCUGCAAAUAGUUAUUGCAUGAAUAAAGCCUUUGAACUCCAGAAACUGUAAGUGAUUGUUCCACUUUAAUUUACCCCAGCUGCUUGGUGGGCUGCAACAGAGAAAGCCCUUUACUGGGCUACCACACCACAAACUUCCAAGGGCAGAAAUUGAACUUAACUUUUGGUACAGAGUCAGCCCUAACCCUUGGGUGGGAUGAAGCAACAUAUCUCAGGCAGUAAAUUUGGGGAUAUUACUGAAGGACAGCAUGGAGCCAAUUAUUUUAUUUUAUUGUUUAAUCACCAUUUGAAUUGUUUGCAAACCACAAAUACAUUGAUCACUUCUAUUUUGGUUGUUCUUGCUUUGGUAACCAGUGUUGAACAAAUUUGCAAUGGUCUGCAUUGCUUGUCAUGGUCAUAUCAUGAACUAAAUGAGUUGGGGAGUACAGCUUGUGUUUUUAGAUGUGUGCUGAACAGCCAGAGGAAUAGCAGAUCAUAUAAGGAAGUUAUCUUGAUGGAAGAUGCUGGCAAAUCCAAGAAGCCUAAGUUGCCAGCAUCAAUGGGAAUUUGCAAUUGCAUUGCAUUGCUGAGCAUGAUUUUUGCACACAUAUAAAAUGUAUAGGAAAACCAACCUAAUAUCGCUAGACUAUGCCAUGUUUUCCCAUA
rnacentral:lncRNA from 1 species